rnacentral:rRNA from 1 species
AAUGGAAGGGCCAUCGCUCAACGGAUAAAAGGUACUCCGGGGAUAACAGGCUGAUACCGCCCAAGAGUUCAUAUCGACGGCGGUGUUUGGCACCUCGAUGUCGGCUCAUCACAUCCUGGGGCUGAAGUAGGUCCCAAGGGUAUGGCUGUUCGCCAUUUAAAGUGGUACGCGAGCUGGGUUUAGAACGUCGUGAGACAGUUCGGUCCCUAUCUGCCGUGGGCGCUGGAGAAUUGAGGGGGGCUGCUCCUAGUACGAGAGGACCGGAGUGGACGCAUCACUGGUGUUCGGGUUGUCAUGCCAAUGGCACUGCCCGGUAGCUAAAUGCGGAAGAGAUAAGUGCUGAAAGCAUCUAAGCACGAAACUUGCCCCGAGAUGAGUUCUCCCUGAGACUUUAAGUCUCCUGAAGGAACGUUGAAGACGACGACGUUGAUAGGCCGGGUGUGUAAGCGCAGCGAUGCGUUGAGCUAACCGGUACUAAUGAACCGUGAGGCUUAACCUUACAACGCCGAAG